AAGUGCUUAUUGGUUUCUGUCGUGACUUAUGGGCGGGGCCUGUUUCAUUGUGACGUCACAGCAGAAAAACCUUUAUAAAGUGCAUUAGUUUAGAGUGUUUCGCAGUUCCCUUUGGAGAUAGUCUUUCGACGUUGCGUAGGCUACAUAUAUGGAUCACAUUCACAAGUAACUUGCGUUUCAUGCACAGAUUUUGUUUUUCUUCAACUGUUAUGGAAUAAUAUAAUUUUGGUCACAUAUUUGCGCAACGAGAACUUCAGUCAAGUGGAAAGUAAGAAAUAGUAUCGCUACAAUAACAAGACAAGUAGGCAUGAGACUGCAACAGAUAACAGAAGAGUCACCGAAAACAGACCAGAUCUAGCUGUGGAGUGCACCAGAUGCAGGACUUUAUCCACAGACUCGGUCAUCCUCCGUUUCAACUAUUUUUUUUUCCUUUCUUCUUUUUCCCCCAAGAAUUAAAAGGUGAGUUUUGAUAGUGUCCAUAAAUGCAUUUACAAGCUUUCUUCCAAGCUGUAUUUGGCAUUAUGUUAAGCUUAAAGCUCUAUUAUGAUGAACAGCUGUUUUUUUCUCAAGAGUCAUGGAAAGUGGGGACAGUGUUGAAGAGGCAGGCUGAGGACAGUAGAGGCCAGUCUGAACUUAGCCACCUCAGAUGAGAGGAAGGAGGCGCAGGGAGAGGGGGAGGAGGGACGGUUGUCGAGCGAACAGAUUUGUUGUGGGUUCCUCAGAGGGAAUGGCAAAGACAGAGGGAAAGAGAAAAAGCACACAAAGAAUUAAAAAAUGCUAUCUGUGAUGGCUCCCGGGAGACAUGAAAGAAAAUGAGCGGGAGCCAAGUUUUCAUCAGCAGGUUGUUGGUCUGUCAUGCAUAGUCUCAAGCCAAAGACACACUGGAUCUUUCUUCUGAUCUGCCGUCAGCCAUUCACCUGAUGUUUAGCUGGAAGAGUAUGAGGGCAUGUUUGCAAAAGAAAAAAAGAAAUUGCUGAAAGAUCA